rnacentral:lncRNA from 1 species
CUUCCGGUGGGAAGGAUACGAGCAAGAUAAAGCAGCGAGGGAUUUAAGUCUGGCAACAGUUGGACUGCUGGAUUUUCAGAGAAGUGUUCCCCAAAGCAAAUUAUAGUGCUAAUUUCCAAUGUUCCAUAAGCGUGGCAAGAAAAAUGGGAAGUUCUCGGUAAGGUAUAUAGUAUUAUUUCUAGAAAUAAAGAUGAACCAAUCCAAGAUUGAUUUUUUGUUUGUUUAAUCCUGGCAGUAUUCUUAACUAAAUUGUAUUCAUUCUUCCCUUUACUUUCCAGACUUUUUAAUUUUAUUUAUUUUUUUAUUUUUUGAGACAGAGUCUUGCCCAGGCUGGAGUGCAGUGCCACAAUCUUGGCUCACUGCAACCUCUGCCUCCCUGGUUCAAGCGUUUCUCCUGCCUCACCCUCCCAAGUAGCUGGGACUACAGGCACGUGCCAUCACGCCAGGCUAAUUUUUGCAUUUUUAGUACAGAUGGGGUUUUACAUAUUGAUCAG